CGCGUUGGCGGUCUAGUUAAGCACUUUAUACUGUGAAACUGCGAAUGGCUCAUUAAAUCAGUUAUCGUUUAUUUGAUAGUACCUUACUACAUGGAUACCUGUGGUAAUUCUAGAGCUAAUACAUGCUGAAAACCUCGACUUCGGAAGGGGUGUAUUUAUUAGAUAAAAAACCAAUGCCCUUCGGGGCUCCUUGGUGAAUCAUAAUAACUUAACGAAUCGCAUGGCCUUGCGCCGGCGAUGGUUCAUUCAAAUUUCUGCCCUAUCAACUUUCGAUGGUAGGAUAGUGGCCUACCAUGGUGGCAACGGGUAACGGGGAAUUAGGGUUCGAUUCCGGAGAGGGAGCCUGAGAAACGGCUACCACAUCCAAGGAAGGCAGCAGGCGCGCAAAUUACCCAAUCCCGACACGGGGAGGUAGUGACAAUAAAUACUGAUACGGGGCUCUUUUGGGUCUCGUAAUUGGAAUGAGUACAAUCUAAAUCCCUUAACGAGGAACAAUUGGAGGGCAAGUCUGGUGCCAGCAGCCGCGGUAAUUCCAGCUCCAAUAGCGUAUAUUAAAGUUGUUGCAGUUAAAAAGCUCGUAGUUGAACCUUGGGUCUGGCUGGCCGGUCCGCCUCACCGCGAGUACUGGUCCGGCUGGACCUUUCCUUCUGGGGAAUCUCAUGGCCUUCACUGGCUGUGGGGGGAACCAGGACUUUUACUGUGAAAAAAUUAGAGUGUUCAAAGCAGGCCUUUGCUCGAAUACAUUAGCAUGGAAUAAUAGAAUAGGACGUGCGGUUCUAUUUUGUUGGUUUCUAGGACCGCCGUAAUGAUUAAUAGGGAUAGUCGGGGGCGUCAGUAUUCAGCUGUCAGAGGUGAAAUUCUUGGAUUUGCUGAAGACUAACUACUGCGAAAGCAUUCGCCAAGGAUGUUUUCAUUAAUCAGGGAACGAAAGUUAGGGGAUCGAAGACGAUCAGAUACCGUCGUAGUCUUAACCAUAAACUAUGCCGACUAGGGAUCGGACGGUGUUUCUAUUAUGACCCGUUCGGCACCUUACGAGAAAUCAAAGUUUUUGGGUUCUGGGGGGAAUAUGGUCCCAGGCUGAACUAAGAGUUUUUGGGAGGG
rnacentral:rRNA from 1 species